rnacentral:sRNA from 1 species
UGAACAGUGUUGGGCUACUGGUAGUUCAGAGAACAGGGAGCCAUAAGAAUAGGUUAAAGAGUCAAUCUGAAAGGGUGAUGCUGAGGAGACAAAGGGCAAUGCGAAAAGAGAGCCGUCCCUGUGAACAGUAACGGCAGCAAUAAAAUUACACUGUAUAAUUUUUAUAGUUUCUGACAUACAGAAAGAUUUCAGUGAAUGGUCCAAUAACAAAUUCAUCUGCUUUUUAUCCAGACAUGCCAUCCACUUUUGUUUCAGCUUUUUCUCUCCACUUGCUGGAUUUAGAAUGAUUAUUUUAAAGGCCAUUGAGUCAAAUGCCUAACUAAGGUGAAUACUACCUGAGCCCUAACUCUGUGCUAUAAAUAGCAAGUCAUAAAUAUUUAUGGUGACAAAAUUAUAAUGCACACCACUUCCAGAGCAUAGUGGGAGUCGUUUAAAUAGAAAGACUGUCAGCGAGAAAGGGAAAUUAAAAGUAACUGAUUUGUUGUAUAACUCAGGCUACCAUAGCUCUCUUCAAGUGCCUUAUUCUGAAGCCAACCAAAUGAUAUAUGAUCUAUUAAUUUGUCAAGUCUGCUUGCUAGACUGAAGUUUCUCAGAGUAAAGAACUUCUUGCAUCUCAAUUUCUAGUUAGGAUUCUAGUGACUAUAAAGAAUUCUACUCAAAUCUCAUUUCCUUUGGUAACAGAAGUAUGAGUUCUUCCCUUUGCUUAUAAUAUUGAGCUCUACCUCUCUAUUGUCUUGGAGUCUUGGAUGUUUUUAUGGAGAACAGAUUCUUACCCUCACCUCACGAAAACCUCGCCAUCUUUGCUUAUUUAAUAAAAUGUGAAAUCCUUAGAGCAGCUUUAUUCAAGAAUCCCUUGAUGCCCCUCUUCUACAGUGGAGGGCAAUUUAAGUUCCUUGCUCACUAGGGGGCGCCUGUUACAUAAGGAAAUCAUAGACAAGCCCCAUCAAUGUUAAGUUAGAAAUGGCAACUAGAUGAUUUUGUCUGCCUUACUUGGGGGCAUAGUCAUUUUUAUUUAUGCUUAUGAGCCAUUCAAGCAUGCAAGAAGAAACAGUCUUAGGAUGUAUUCACUCUUGAGCUCUAUUCCUUGAUGUGAAGCUUACGGUCCAUUACUUAAUAUUACUUAAUUCACAAGUGGUUUAAAGAUACUAAUGAUGAUAUAAAACCGAAACUUGCUGCUACGGUUUGAAUGCAUCCUUGGAAGUCCCUGUGGUGGAUUUGUAUCCUCAAUACAGCAAGGUAGGGUGAUGAGACCUACUUGGAGCGCUGUGGGUCAUGAGGGCUCCACUUUCACGAAUAGAUUAAGUUGCAAAGCAUUUUAAAUUGUGACUUUGGUCCCUCACAAUAAGCACUUCUUAGUUGUCUCCUUUUUACCAUGGAAUGAUGUGGGGGGGUAAUGGGAGGGAGUCCCCCUCACUAGAUCUAGUGCCUUGAACGUAAGCUUCCUAGUUUUCAGAACUGUGAGAAAUAAAUCUGUAUUCUGUACAAGUUACUUAGACUUUCGAACUCUCUUGUAGCAACAGGAAACAGACUAAGACAGAAAACAAUGAGAAGCAGGGCCCACAGCUACUGCAGAUACCUGGAAAUAAAGAAGCAGCUUUGGAGGGUAGUGGGUAGAGACCGGAAGAGCUUCAAGGAUUAGCUACAAAAUUGAGAUUUUUUUUUCCCCCAAGAAUAGUUAGAGCAGCAGAGAGAACCUGGGGAAGAAAGACUGCAUAUCUUUAUACCUAAGUGGUCACCAGCAGUAGAAACACAGACAGUGUAGACCAUUCUGAUGACGCCACAGAGAGAAAUAAGAACAGCACUGAAAACUGAAGUAAAGUGAAAUGGGCUAGACUGUGCCCGUGCUUAGGGAUGUGUGGAAGGAGAUUAGCAAUGAUAAGCUGAGCUACAGAUAGAAUUGUCUAAAACACGACGAUAGCAGUUGCUUUUAGUUGGAUUCGUUAAAUGUGAGAGACCUAGCAACUCUUCUGACUUAAGUUAUGUCCAUCCCAAAACCUGCAUGUGUCUCUAUGACUCUUUCUUCCUUCUCAAAACUCACAGAGGCCUUCGGGACUAGGACUUUUAAAUGGAACUUAGGUCUGUCUGGAAAGUUGUGUUUCAAGGCUGUUUUGUUUUGUUUUGUUGUUAUUGAGGGAGAAGAUGUAAGUUUUCCAGAGCCAACAAGAACACAAAGGCUUUUUUUUUAAUUUAUUUAUUCUCAAGUGAAACCGAAUCUAAUUUGAGCAAGAGAUGCAUUUAUGUGUCAAAGAAUGACACAGUAGUACCGUGAGACUUGGUAACAAACCACCCAAAAGGAGAGCGAGCUGGAGAAAGAGAGAAUUCAGAGAAGACACAGUUUCCCCGGUAGCUUAUUUAACAAAGGAGGACAAAGACAAUACUACACUCCAUUCAACAUGCAAACAGACUGACCUCAAAUGCAUUGUGGAACUUCAAGAAGUAUUUUGUAUGAGUAUUUCUGAAGUGGGUAGCAUCUUUACGAAGGUAAGAUAACCCUUUCCUCCUCUCCCAAAUCAUGGUGGAUUAUUACCUUUUUAAAGUAACUCUUCCCAUAAUCCUCUUGGACUGCUACAAUAGGGUAGGGAUGUCAAAACAACAUUGUAAAUAUUAUAAUAAAGUCAGGGUCUUUGGGAGAUGAAUUCUCAUUAGUGUGCCUGUAUGUCAAUUUGGAAAAUUCCCUAUGCCCUCAUUUUGAAUGUGUCAAAAGGAACCUAAUUGCACAUUUAAGGAUAUUUAACCAGAAUGAAGCAUUGUGUCAGACACAUCUGUCUAGAUCCAGCUGGAAUUCCCUUUCAUUCCUUCACAUCUAACUCUAUCUAUUUAUCUAUUUAUUUACUUACAUACUUAGUGUUUGUG